CUACGGGGCGCUGCAGUGAGGAAUAUUGCGCAAUGGGGGAAACCCUGACGCAGCGACGCCGCGUGGAUGAUGAAGGCCUUCGGGUCGUAAAAUCCUGUCAGAAGGAAAGAAGUGUAUGGUAGCUAAUAUCUGCCAUACUUGACGGUACCUUCAAAGGAAGCACCGGCUAACUCCGUGCCAGCAGCCGCGGUAAUACGGAGGGUGCAAGCGUUGUUCGGAAUUACUGGGCGUAAAGCGCGCGUAGGCGGUUUUAUAAGUCAGAUGUGAAAGUCCACGGCUCAACCAUGGAAGUGCAUUUGAAACUGUAAGACUUGAGUAUUGGAGGGGGUAGUGGAAUUCCCGGUGUAGAGGUGAAAUUCGUGGAUAUCGGGAGGAAUACCGGUGGCGAAGGCGACUAUCUGGCCAAAUACUGACGCUGAGGUGCGAAAGCGUGGGGAGCAAACAGGAUUAGAUACCCCAGUAGUC
rnacentral:rRNA from 1 species